rnacentral:rRNA from 1 species
AUUGAACGCUGGCGGCAUGCUUUACACAUGCAAGUCGAACGGUAACAGGUUAAGCUGACGAGUGGCGAACGGGUGAGUAAUGCAUCGGAUCGUGCCCGAUCGUGGGGGAUAACGCAGCGAAAGCUGCGCUAAUACCGCAUACGAUCUGAGGAUGAAAGCGGGGGACCGUAAGGCCUCGCGCGAUCGGAGCGGCCGAUGUCAGAUUAGGUAGUUGGUGGGGUAAAGGCUCACCAAGCCAACGAUCUGUAGCUGGUCUGAGAGGACGACCAGCCACACUGGGACUGAGACACGGCCCAGACUCCUACGGGAGACAGCAGUGGGGAAUUUUGGACAAUGGGCGAAAGCCUGAUCCAGCAAUGCCGCGUGCAGGAAGAAGGCCUUCGGGUUGUAAACUGCUUUUGUACGGAGCGAAAAGGCUCUCUCUAAUACAGGGGGCUCAUGACGGUACCGUAAGAAUAAGCACCGGCUAACUACGUGCCAGCAGCCGCGGUAACAC